UACGUAGGCGCCAAGCGUUGUUCGGAAUUACUGGGCGUAAAGGGCGCCUAGGCGGACGGGUAAGUCGGGUGUGAAAUCCCUUGGCUCAACUGAGGAAUUGCGCCCGAUACUGCUCGUCUUGAGUGCAGAAGGGGAGAGUGGAACUCCUGGUGUAGCGGUGAAAUGCGUUGAUAUCAGGAUGAACGCCGGUGGCGAAAGCGGCUCUCUAGUCUGUUACUGACGCUGACGCGCGAAAGCCAGGGGAG
rnacentral:rRNA from 1 species